rnacentral:rRNA from 1 species
UGGCGCACGGGUGAGUAACGCGUGGGUAACCUACCUUUAGGCCAGGGAUAACAUCCCGAAAGGGGUGCUAAUACCUGAUAAGACCACGAGACCUUCGGGACUUGGGGUAAAAGGCGGCCUCUUCUUGAAAGCUGCUACCUUAAGAUGGGCCCGCGUGCUAUUAGCUGGUUGGUGGGGUAACGGCCUACCAAGGCUACGAUAGCUAGCUGGUCUGAGAGAAUGACCAGCCACACUGGAACUGGAACACGGUCCAGACUCCUACGGGAGGCAGCAGUGAGGAAUUUUGCGCAAUGGGGGAAACCCUGACGCAGCAACGCCGCGUGAGUGAAGAAGGCCUUCGGGUCGUAAAGCUCUGCCAAGCGGGAAGAAGUCGACCGGGGUUAAUACCCUUGGUUGUUGACGGUACCGCUGAAGGAAGCACCGGCUAACUCCGUGCCAGCAGCCGCGGUAAUACGGAGGGUGCCAGCGUUAUUCGGAAUCAUUGGGUGUAAAGCGCGUGUAGGCGGUUUUGUAAGUCAGAUGUGAAAGCUUCGGGCUUAACCCGGAAAGUGCAUUUGAAACUGCAAGACUUGAGUUCCGGAGAGGAAGGUGGAAUUCCCAGUGUAGAGGUGAAAUUCGUAGAUAUUGGGAGGAACACCGGUGGCGAAGGCGACCUUCUGGACGGUGACUGACGCUGAGACGCGAAAGCGUGGGGAGCAAACAGGAUUAGAUACCCUGGUAGUCCACGCCGUAAACGAUGAGCGCUAGGUGUAGGGGGGUAUUGACCCCCCCUGCGCCGUAGCUAACGCAUUAAGCGCUCCACCUGGGGAGUACGGCCGCAAGGCUAAACUCAAGGGAUUGACGGGGCCCGCACAGCGGUGAGCAUGUGGUUUAUUCG